UACGGGGGGAGCAAGCGUUGUUCGGAUUUACUGGGCGUAAAGGGCGCGUAGGCGGCGUAACAAGUCACUUGUGAAAUCUCCGGGCUUAACCCGGAGCGGUCAAGUGAUACUGUUGUGCUAGAGUGCGGAAGGGGCUACUGGAAUUCUCGGUGUAGCGGUGAAAUGCGUAGAUAUCGAGAGGAACACCUGCGGCGAAGGCGGGUAGCUGGGCCGACACUGACGCUGAGGCGCGAAAGCCAGGGGAGCGAACGGG
rnacentral:rRNA from 1 species